rfam:Parcubacteria (Nomurabacteria) bacterium GW2011_GWF2_36_19 TS08_C0001, whole genome shotgun sequence.
GGAGCCGUGUCAGAGUGGUCUAACGUACAUCUUUGCUAAAGAUGCAGGGGAUAAAACCCCUCGCUGGUUCGAAUCCAGCCGGCUCCG